rnacentral:rRNA from 1 species
GAAUGCUGACAUAAGUAACGAUAAAGCGGGUGAAAAGCCCGCUCGCCGGAAGACCAAGGGUUCCUGUCCAACGUUAAUCGGGGCAGGGUGAGUCGACCCCUAAGGCGAGGCCGAAAGGCGUAGUCGAUGGGAAACAGGUUAAUAUUCCUGUACUUGGUGUUACUGCGAAGGGGGGACGGAGAAGGCUAUGUUGGCCGGGCGACGGUUGUCCCGGUUUAAGCGUGUAGGCGGAGGUUCCAGGUAAAUCCGGUACCUUUUUAACGCUGAGGUGUGAUGACGAGGCACUACGGUGCUGAAGCAACAAAUGCCCUGCUUCCAGGAAAAGCCUCUAAGCAUCAGGUAACACGAAAUCGUACCCCAAACCGACACAGGUGGUCAGGUAGAGAAUACCAAGGCGCUUGAGAGAACUCGGGUGAAGGAACUAGGCAAAAUGGUGCCGUAACUUCGGGAGAAGGCACGCUGAUAUGUAGGUGAAGCGGUUUACCCGUGGAGCUGAAAUCAGUCGAAGAUACCAGCUGGCUGCAACUGUUU